CGGCCGGCAGCCGUCGCACACGCGCACAGCGCCGCUCGCCGUGUUCACCGCUCCUCUCCGCUGUUUCGCUCACGGGGCCCUGGCUCCUGCCCGGUGUGCGCUCGCCCAUGCGAACACAGCCCGGAUGAGUGGGGUCCCAGAGCGGGGUUCUGCACGGCGUCGGCAGGUGUGGCCUGGAGCGCUGGUGAGUCACGGGAAGCUUCUACCCUCUGGAGCAAACCAGCUGAAGGAGAACCGUACCAGUCAGGUACGGUUAGCGCAGCCCGGAGUUGUUCCCUUAAGAAGUGUGGCCAGGCCGAGCGAGCGGACGUAUAGAAGAAAGAUGUCCCCGGACGCCCUGAAGGGUUCUCUGCCGCCAGGCACAGCCUGAAGUAAGUUGAGCUGGAACCAACGAUACCAAUUGCUGACGGAGAGGAAAGCUGGACAAACGGUCUUUUUGAGAUUAAUAUCUAAGGGAUGAAGUGAAUGAGACAAGAAAUCAAAAGCACAGCAGACCUCUGAUAUCCCCAGCAACUGCUGCGGAAGGAGGUGUUCUGCCGUGGGCAAGUAAGGUGACUGCUGGUAACGACUGUUUGUUAUUUCGGCCUCCCAGAGGCAGUGCUGAGGGCUAAGCAACCCAUUUCUGCCCUGUGAAUAUUGUUAACUGCAUCUGCCUUAAUUUUGCUUCGGCUGUUCUGUUUUGUUAGCGGACACGCGUAGAUAGAAAGGGAAGGAUACAGUACUUACCCUUUCAGACGAAUUGUCGCGGCUGAAGUUGAAGAGACCAGAAAAACAUAAGCGAGCUGAAGUGAGAAAACCAAAUGGAACCAACUGAGAGCUGUCUCUGUCUACUGCAAAGGAAAGACCAUCCUUCCUGACUAGGAAGGCUCACCAUUAAGAGCGAUCGGAAUAACAGAUCACCGAUGUAUAACGGAAGGUCGCUCUGCCUUACAACAAGGUGAAGGAUUUCACUGUGCCUCCAUUAACAAGUGCUGGCUGACAAAGUUAUAACGUCCCAGUGGAGACUCCUAGGCAAGGCGGAGGCGUUCAGGUAGAGAGCCUGCCAGAAGAACGUUGCCCGGGAGGUGUUGCUGGCCUUGAGCUGUAGGCGCUGAUGCACGCGGCUCAUUCUGUUGGACACAAAGAGGUUGCAGAUAUUUUAGCUUGGCUUUAUGCUGUAUAGUGGUAGUAUUUUUGUGUUUAUAAAUUGUGUUAAUCCUUGGCAUUCAGAACAGCUGGGAACGACUAUAUGCUGCCAUGAAGAACUACAGGCUACUGCUUUCAGACCUGUGUAACUUGUGUGUCAAGAGCAGCCGGGAGAAUCUGAAUGCCAAUUUUGGAAGGUUCUCUGCCAGGUGCUGACAAAGGAGCCUUUGGCAGUAGUAAGGCUGGCAGUGUCCUUACCUGAAUUGUGGGUAAUAAGCCACAAUUCACAGACCAGGAAAGGAAAGGGGGAAUAGCAAUGGGUAGCCCAGUCAUUGUGGCAUUGCUCUUGCUAGCAGGGCCACCAGGUCUGUGUGAAGCCUCAGCUGCCUCUUUGGAGGUUUGUUUACCUGGAGGAAGCAGUGAGGUCUAAAGUAAGAAUUUUUGUGGCUAGAUGAGUAAGCUGUGACCUCACGUGUCUUUGCCUUGCUUUGCUGCUUUGUGUCAUAAUAGCAACUUGGGACUCCAGGAUAAAAACUGUUACAGUGCUUCGGGGAGGGGAGAGAUCUGCAUUUGCCCAGGUUAGGGAACUAUCAUUAAAGCUCUGGGAGGGAAAAAUCUCUAAACUGAGAGUCUCCCAGGGACCUUGGUGGUUUGAUUCACAUAGAGGGUCAGUGUCAGGGUCUAGUAGUCUCUGACGAGGUUCCCUUAGAUAUUCCAUGCAUAUGGAGAGCACAAUGUUUGAUAUAAAGAUUUCAUUUAAAGGUAUUUGAUGUUAUUUUUUUUUUAAGAGGAGUGAUAAAGUAAUAAACUGAAAUCACAAUACAAGUGUAAUUGGUAUUACCAGUCUCUACAAUGUGCUCAUCAUCAUGACGCUGGUCACCCCCACUUUCAAGGAAAGAAUAUGUGGGUUGAAGCCAGCUCCGGCCAGUUGCUCUCUUCAAAAAUUUCUUCGUUAGUUGUUCAGGCUUCAUGAUCUGUAUUGGGCUGAGCCAUGUAUGCACUUCUCUCAUGCUGGUCUGGCUAAUCUCAGAGACACAUUCACAUCCUUUGCUGAAUUUAGAUAGAAACGUUUUCACCAAUAUAUGAUUACUUAUCUAAAGCAAAGGUUAUCCUCUGCCCCCCUUUGUGCUAAGAUCAAGUCAAUUCUCCGUGCAACAGUUGGGAUUACCAAGUUGCAUCUUAUACCAUUCCUGAGCAUCAGGGCAUCUUGCCUGUGUUCAUCUCCUCUGAGCCUUCUUUCAUUUAAAGGGGUUAUUGGUCGGUUACAGUCAGCCCUAGUUGUGGACUAGGGAGUAGUUCUAGGAGGGCUGUGCAGUUGCCUGGCCUCUCAGUAACUGUUCUGGCCUCUUUACAGGUGCUGAAGCAUUGUCUGGCAGUUGAAAGAGCAUUGUCACAGCUGGGAGCUCUCUACAGAGAUCUGUGGCUGGCUGCAGAAGAUGAGCCCUGACUUGCAGCAUGGACACAGCUAAGUCCUGGGGCUGCGCUGUAUGUGAGCAGGGCUGGGAAGCUGCAGGUGGUUUGGCCCUUAGUGGUUACAGUUGUCACUGGCUGUGGAUGGUUGCCCAUGGAGCUGAGAUAAGCAAAAAUAUUAAUGGUCUGUAACAGAGAGGAAUUAUUGCUUGCGGUGUUUAGGUAUGUUUGGUGUUAGCACAGCUUAGUGCAGUCCAGUGACAUGAUUCUUGCACGUGCUCACAUUUGAACAGUGGCUAAAAGCUAGCCUAUAAACAGCAACAGUAACAGGAUUCUGGUGCACAUCUUCCUGUUCUGCUGCCCUUCUAAAUGAAGGGGAAACAUCUUUCCUUGCUUAAAGCUAAGGGUUUGGACUUUUUCACUUGAGGUUUAUUUAUUUUGUUGUUGAGGGUCUCUUACACAGGGGUUAUGGUUUCUUACUUUAUUUUGUGGGGUUUAGCCUUUAGCAGUCACAGUUCACAGGUCGCUCAUCUAGCGAUCAGGGUGCAGGAUUUAAAAUCCAACCUCAUCCCUAGAUUUUACAGCCUCAGCCACCAUUUGGGUGCCAACAUGUGCAGUUUGUCACUUAAGGUUCAGGGCUUAGGGCUUACUGAUUAAUGAAAAAUCCAUAGAUAAUAACCUGUAAGCCCUGAAGCCUAGGCAGCCUAAGGCUGCAAACCCUCGUUCGAGGUUUCUCAUCUUCCCCUGUACCCAGCGUUCAAUUCUGUGCACUGACACAAGGUCUGGGUUUCGUGUGGUCCAGGCCCAUCCAUUGGGACUGGUGAUGCGACAGGCAAGCUGAUUGCUGUGGAAGUGUCCUGCAGGGCUCUAAUCUGGGGCAAGGCAAAAGCACAGACAGGUGAGAUCAGGCAUAGUCUUCUAAAUUCUCAGAGUUGAAUCCUAUCCCUGAAGGAAAAUGCAGAAAAGGAAAAAGCAGAAGGGGUAGGCCGUCAGCUACGCAGACACCUGCCACGUCAAGGGCAGCAGCAGGAGCUGACCCUUCCCUGACGGACGGACGGAUGCUGGUGAUGACUCUUCAGGUGUCACAGGGUAAGGGGAAGCAUGCUGGCACCCAGCUCCGUGGCAGACUCACUUCCAGGUCACGUUUCUGCACAGUAAAACAAUAAAUAGUUGUUUUAUUCUUUGCA